UUAGACCUCAUGUCAUUUUGGAAGGUUCUUUGUAAACUUAGAUAGGUUCAUUGCUUUUUAGUUAGUAAUUGCUUUCUAGUAGUGUAUGUCCACCUUUUUGACCAAUUUUUUGGAUUAGGUUGUUCCCUUUCAGUUUUGUAUUUGUGUUCGAAUCAUGAGUUCUAAACUUGUAUUGGUGCUUGCUUCUGCUUGAUCUAGCAAUAUUUGGUCGUAUGAUCUUUCCAGCCACUAGAAUAGAUUCCACAAUUUUUUUUUUUUUAAACUACACAGUUUAUCUAAAAGGAAUGUUUUAAAUAUAGAGCCUCAUUUGAAUUAUCUUACUCUCUAUAUUUAGGAGCGAGAUAGUUAAAAGUUAAAAUGUAGAGUUACUUUAGGAAUCUGAGAGCAUCUUAAGCAAUGCGAAUGUUAUUUUGGUCAGUCACUUUAGAAAUAUGUAUGCAUCAAUGCUCUCUAUUUUAACUGGUGUAAUAUUGAUAUAUUUUUUUAAAAUCAUCCCUAAUCAUAUGAAAAACCGUCAUUAGCUUUAAUACGCCAUUCAACUUGUACAACUUGUGUUGUACAAGAAACCACAUUGAACACAAAGUACUUGGAAGGAUUUAGAUGUUACUUCUCUAAGUUAAUAGUUUUGACCUCUUUAUAUAUGAUGCCUUGUUUUUUUUGGAUUAAUUUCAGUUUACCCCCAUCAACUUUAGGUCGAUCAUCAUGUUAGUCCUUCUUCUUUCAAUUUCAUCAAAAACACCCAUCAACUCCCAAUUUUCAUCAGCCACGCAUGUCCAAACCUCCAAUCUUCAUCUAAUUCCUCUGUCAAGUGAUGACUUGAUAUCAAGAAGAAAGAAAAAGGAAAAAUAGACAAAUUGUAUUCAAUCUUAUCAAAAUCACUAAGGUUAGGAGAUUGUGAUGGGAACAAAGAUGUGUAUCGAUAUGGGGAAAAACGGUUUGAAAGGUAACUUUC
rnacentral:lncRNA from 1 species